rnacentral:lncRNA from 1 species
AAUUUCAGGAACAUGACAGACGUUGUUGAGAGUCACCACCUUGCCAGAGGUCAUCUUCAGCAGUAUCUUUCCAUAACCUUCAAUCUUGGCCGUUGCAGCAGAGAAAGGUGUUGUGUUUUGGUGGUUGAACUGCUGCGUUUUUCGUGGUGGUGCAACAGCUCUUUUGGUUGAGUUUUGGAUGGCGUUUUGCUCGUUUGGAGGCUGUUUUCAAGCUGCUUUUCAGAUGUGUUUUCUAGGUUGAAGAGAGGACGUUUCUGGGCUGAUUUUGUGGUGGUUUUUACAGCUAAAAGGCUAAUGGAGUUUGGCUGGUUUUUUACUUCAAAGAGGCGUCUAACAGUAGUACUCUACAUGGUGUUUGGGGGAGCAGUUAUGGUUGUUUGAUGGUGUUUUCAUGGAAAAUAGAUGCUAGUGUUAUGGCAGGUUUUUACUAGUUUUCAUAGCCAUGCUAAGUUGGAGAAGAAAGGAGUCUCUUGGCUGCUACUCACAAUUUUUAUUAGUCCCUUUCUCUUCAUCCCUUUUCUAUUUAGUUUUCUUUCUCUCUCUGAUUCUCUGUGUGUAAAUUGUAUCUAUAUAUAAUCCCCAGCCCCCUCUAUUAUUGGGCAAGAAGAAAAGAAUGGAAUCCUCCAAAAUGUGUGAACCCCACCAGAGGUAAAAUUCAUUGCGAUUUCUGUAUGUUU